UACGUAGGGCGCAAGCGUUGUCCGGAAUUAUUGGGCGUAAAGAGCUCGUAGGCGGCCUGUUGCGUCCGCUGUGAAAUCCCGGGGCUCAACCCCGGGCGUGCAGUGGAUACGGGCUGGCUGGAGGCAGGCAGGGGAGAACGGAAUUCCUGGUGUAGCGGUGAAAUGCGCAGAUAUCAGGAGGAACACCGGUGGCGAAGGCGGUUCUCUGGGCCGAUACUGACGCUGAGGAGCGAAAGCGUGGGGAGCGAACAGG
rnacentral:rRNA from 1 species